ACGAUGAAACGGGAAACCCGGUGAACCUUUGGGACAACCAAACUAUUCCGGUGCAGCCCCCGCUACUGUAGGCCACGUUUGUAAAGUGGUAAGCCAGGAGACCGGCCUGAUCUAAUUGACGCUU
rnacentral:ncRNA from 2 species